rnacentral:rRNA from 1 species
GACGAACGCUGGCGGCGUGCUUAACACAUGCAAGUCGAACGCUGAAGACCUGGCUUUUGUUGGGUUGGAUGAGUGGCGAACGGGUGAGUAACACGUGAGUAACCUGCCCUCUUCUUUGGGAUAACGCCCGGAAACGGGUGCUAAUACUGGAUAUUCACUGGCCUUCGCAUGGGGGUUGGUGGAAAGGUUUGUUCUGGUGGGGGAUGGGCUCGCGGCCUAUCAGCUUGUUGGUGGGGUGAUGGCCUACCAAGGCUUUGACGGGUAGCCGGCCUGAGAGGGUGGCCGGUCACAUUGGGACUGAGAUACGGCCCAGACUCCUACGGGAGGCAGCAGUGGGGAAUACUGCACAAUGGGCGAAAGCCUGAUGCAGCGACGCCGCGUGAGGGAUGGAGGCCUUCGGGUUGUAAACCUCUUUCGCUCAUGGUCAAGCCGCAACUGUGGGUUGUGGUGAGGGUAGUGGGUAAAGAAGCGCCGGCUAACUACGUG